GAUCUUAUGGUCUAAUGGUUAUGACAUCAACUCUUCAUGUUGAUAAUAUUGGUUCAAUUCCGAUUAAGAUUA
rnacentral:tRNA from 1 species